CCACCUGGUGUCACUGGUGGAGCUGGGCAAGCUCUUCCUUCGCCAGGGCCUCGCCGUCACCGUCCUCAUCGUCGACGCCCCCUAUAAAACUGGCGACACCGCCCCCUUCAUCGCCGCCGUCUCCGACGCCCUACCCGCCCUCUCAUUCCACCGCCUUCCCCCGGUCGCCCUCCCUCCCAACCCCUCCCCCAACCUCGAGGCCCUCGCCUUCGACCUCCUCCGCCUCUCCAACCCUAAUCUCCGCCGCUUCCUCCUUUCCCUCUCCCCCUCUCCCCGCGCCCUCGUUGUCGACUUCUUCUGCGUCCACGCCCUAGACGUCGCUGCCGAUCUCGGCCUCCCCGCCUACAUCUUCUUCACCUCCGGUGCUGCCGUCCUCGCCACUUUCUUCCACUUCCCGGCGCUCCACUCUGCCUCCUCCUCCAGCUUCAAAGAC
rnacentral:lncRNA from 1 species